UGGGGAAUCUUAGACAAUGGGGGCAACCCUGAUCUAGCCAUGCCGCGUGAGUGACGAAGGUCUUAGGAUCGUAAAGCUCUUUCGCCGGGGAAGAUAAUGACGGUACCCGGUAAAGAAACCCCGGCUAACUCCGUGCCAGCAGCCGCGGUAAUACGGAGGGGGUUAGCGUUGUUCGGAAUUACUGGGCGUAAAGCGCGCGUAGGCGGAUGAUCAAGUCGGGGGUGAAAUCCCGGGGCUCAACCCCGGAACUGCCUUCGAUACUGGUCGUCUAGAGUUCGAGAGAGGUGAGUGGAAUUCCGAGUGUAGAGGUGAAAUUCGUAGAUAUUCGGAGGAACACCGGUGGCGAAGGCGGCUCACUGGCUCGAUACUGACGCUGAGGUGCGAAAGCGUGGGGAGCAAACAGGAUUAGAUACCCGCGUAAUCC
rnacentral:rRNA from 1 species